UCUCCAUCUCAAAUAAGGGAUCUUCUUGGGACAAGGACUGAAUGAGGGUGGGAGAGAGUAUGAGUCUCACGGCACCCAGGAGGGAGAAAUUGUGUUUCUGAGAAGGUGUCUUUUGGCCUCUUGAAAAUGUGCAAGAAUUCCGCGGGCCCAGGCUUUCUUUGUGUGGCGGGCAGCGCCAAGCGCUUUGUGCUUCACAAGGAGAAAAUGGCGAGUCCUAUUGUGUUUAGGCCAUUUUCUUCCGGCACAAGGAUUUUCCUAAGUUCGAAAUACUUCUUCAGAAAGUAGCCUUCUCGUGCCCAGGAAGGUGAGAAUCGCUGAGGCUAGGCCCCAUGGCCUGGCGUGGGUGCCAACCUCAGUUUAAAAGCAAGGGCCUGUUUUCUUACCGUUGGGGUACUUAUAUCAAAGCACAGAUAUGCCCGGUGUGUGCGGAUCAGUGUCCUCCAAAGAUCAGCAGCGGCUCUUUGGGGUUUGGGAAAAUAAGUGUCUAUUUAUAUAUGCAUAUAUACAUACAUAUACGUAACAGUUGUUUCUGAUAAUCUGAAGGAGAAAAUAAAAAAUGAAAGACAAUUACGUUUUUGAAAGAGGGAAUAGUUCUUUUCCUUUCUCCUUUCUCCCCCUCGAGGAAACCCCAGGAGAUAUUAAAUGUUACUCUGCUCAGUCAGUCUUUUGUUUUCUAAACUGAAGAUGGGAUGCUAUUUUGGAUGGAAGAAUUAUUCUGCAUCUUAGUCACUGGAACAUAUGCUUUGCUAGAAAAGAAGUGUAAGGUGUUAGAGGUGGAUUUAGUUUAAUGCUCUUAGUGUGUGUGUGUGUGUGUGUGUGUGUGUGAGAGAGAGAGAGAGAGAGAGAGAGAUCUAUGUGCCUCUAUAUAGUGAUGUAAAUAUGAAGAGGGAGAUGAUUGAAAACAUUGUCUGGCUUUUGCCCCUUAAUUUGUCAUUUUUGCAAUUGUUCUGCACUUGUUAAACCAUAUGUAAAAGUGGACAAGGAUACCUAUACAAGAAUGUCUGUCACUUUUGAAAACCCCCAGAACUUAUUGAAAGAUACUUUGAAAAGAUAUUAUUUUUGGUUGAAAGAUAUUAUUUCCUAAUUACUACAAUUAUUUGGAUCUUUAAAUAAUUUUUAAACCACCAAAUGUGGUGGUUUUGCCAGCUCAAAAACAAUGAAAUGCAAAGUUCCCCUAUGUGCUUCCUGUGCAUUCAUUUUGGUGGCAAAUAUAGAAAACUAAAAACAACUGGGAUAGGGAAGUUAACUUAAAGCCUAUAGCUUUUCCCCCCUUUUGAUGUCAUUUUAAAAUGUUAGGGAGUCACAUUUGUGCAGAGGCGUUGUGACUUUCAUUUUUCAAAAGGUAACACUAGCGUAGCCUUUCAUGUGGAUCAAGACCAUGGACAGCGAACUAAUAUUAAAUCACUGAGCAAAAAGGACUCUAGUAAAAUUUUGAGACCUAAGUGGAAGUUUACAUUCAAAACAUGUUGGAAGUCAAAAACAAUCUUUAUGAUUUUUAAAAGGAAUUCAACUGGUAAAAUGUGGCAUUUCAAAGUUAGUCUACCAAGUUUCAAAGAAACAAUAAUCGUAUGUUCAGUUUUUACCCUGUCUCAAAGAGAAAAAGUAUAUAUUCUUUAUCCAAUUAAAAUAAGAUAACGCCCACCUUUUGGUACUGGUAAAUAUAAAAUUUAAAUCUAUCAGUUUUAGAUGUAGAAUGUUUUAUAUAAGACCUUGAAACAGUAUGGGGAUAGGGAAAUUUUACUAUUUCAGGUUGGCAUUGGCUGAAUGACACUACAGAAAAUUAAAUUGAUUUUUAUCAGUGACUGAAUUUCUAAAUGCAUAAAAUUGGGAAAAUUAAAUGCCACUUUGAUAGACAGGGAUAGUAUGAAUGGAGAUAUAAUCCAGCUAUUCCUUUUACUCCUGGGUAGGCAUUGUACCCUAUAAUAUGCAAUGUGGGCAAGCACUUUUUUUCCAAGAAAGUCACAGGUUUUUUCAUAUAUACUGAUUAUAUUUGGGGCACAGGAUUGGUUCAAUGUGGUUCUAUGAUGGAGAUCAGGUUAUUUUGUUUUGUACAUUGUUUGAAUAGCCUUUACUUCUUUACAGAAUUAAAAUUCAUUUAAAACCAUUUCAUUUGUGGAUUACAUAAUAUUGAAAAUUGCUCAUUUAAAUUUCCAGUUUGAUGUAUCUUUUGGCUUAUUUCAUAACCUGACUUUAGUGUGACCUGUAAAGGCCUGGAAAAUCAUAUAAAGCAAAAACAAUAUACAAGUUAGAGGAAUUAAAAUAGCUUAUAAUUAAAAUUAAGUUAAAAUUACAUUAAUUUAAAAGGACCUUGGAGUUUAUAAAGAUUAAAUUUUGAUCUUUAUUCGUCAGAUUCGGCUAUAAAAUGAAACUGCAGUUCUUUGAAUGCGCAUGUUGCUGGAAUUAGAUGCUAUGUAUAUUUUGAAGACACACACAUUUUAUUUUUAGACAACGUAUUCAAAGUACUUGAGAAGAAUAUGCAAUGACAUUUUCCCCUGUCCUAAUCAGGACCAUGGUGAGGUCCCCGUGGUUCACCAAGUGGUGGGCCAGGGCUCUGGUUGGGACGCUGAUUUAGGUUGGCAAAGAGUCAUUGUUUUGAAAGGCGUAUUGGUCCAGGAAGGCAUUCGUGAUAAGAUUAAGCAUAAACCUAAACCUUGGCCUGGGGGGAAGGAAGCCUGCGGGGUUGAGAAGAGGAGAUGCAGAUUAGCUCUGCUUUUGCUGCUUGCGCACAUAAUUAAGAGGCGGUCCCUCAGCUGGAGCGUGGGCUCUGUCCGGCCUAAAGUGCUUAUUUUCCUGUUACUUGGCCAACCGAGUGUGAGUGAAAAGGAGCCCGAGAGCUUAAAUGCGGGAUCUAGAUGUUUCGACUGGUUUGUGGGCGCUUGUCUCCAUGUUAGGGAGAGGCAACUGAGAACGGUGACUUUGGCUUGUUUUGAGGGAGCCUGUAUUUUGACAGCAAGACGGCUAGGGGAGCCUUUGGAGAGGCUGGAAGUUCGACGUCUUAGGGAGCUGCCUGCAGGCACUGCGUUGGCGCCAACGGGUAGUCGGCAAGGGCAGAGCGCUUGCCCUCUGCUGUGCCCAGGCUCUGCAAUUGGGGGCUGCGCGCUUUCUGCGGCUCUUUGGUUUCAAGGACACAGAGAGCUGCUCAGGACUUUGGGAGCCAACAUCUGUCUGACUGGUGACGUCAGCAGCCCGUGUAAUCCUCUUGUGCUGAAGGCAGAUGCCUUAUUUGUUUGGCUGGAGCGAGCCAUUAAUCCCUAAUUCUGGAUCAGCAAGCGAGGGGGAAAGACCGGACUGCUCCAACCCACCCCUUCCCUACCCCCACCUCCCACCUUAAAGCACCUUAUACCACGGAAGCCUCUCAGCCUCCUCUUUCCUCCGCGAACGCGCUGAGCAGCGAUUGAAAACGUUUUGGUCCUCUGCAGGUUUGAGCAGGGCUAGCAGGUCUCUCUCCUCCGGAUUUCUAGGGCUAUGUGUGGGCGCGUUCUGGGGUCUCUGCGCAAGACCAUCUCUCAGCUCUCUCUCCCUUCCUCGGACUCUGGAGUGGGAGCGGGCCUUUCCCUCGGGCGGACCACACCGUAGGGGACGCCGUGAAAAGAGCCGUCGCGCCCGCCACCUCCUGCCCGCUGCGCAGAGGGCUCCGCCCGUAGAGGUCAACUUCCCUCACCCAUUCCUCUUUCCUGCUCGCCCUCCCUCCGCCCGGCCCAGGCGCUUCCAGCCCCCGACUCCAGCCGCAGGCUGAGGAGUGCGAAUCCGCUGCGCUGCCCUGAACCGAAGCCCCUUCCAGACCCGAGGUCCUUGCUCCGGGGCAGUGGGGAAGCCUUAGUGAGCAGCCUUUUCUCUCCGCAGCAAACUCGUAGCCAGACCAGAUGGGCCGCCCAGCUCUCUCGGGACUAGGCAGGUGCGGUUGAGUUAAUUUUUCCGCAUUACAAAGAAAGAUGACCCAGCCUGCCCUUGGACUCUCUUUUCCCAAAAUCUCCCAUCCAAACCCGCGGUAACAUUAUUGGAGGACACAGAGACCAGGCAUAUCUGUGUGUUUAUCACACAUGUUUGUUUUCCCCUUUAUAUGCUAGAUUUCGUCCCCGACAGCAGAAAAUGAUUGGCGAUGGUUCUGACGGAGAACAUGCAAUGGCGUGGUUCUUAAAAGCCUACCAUUCCUUCCUUACAAGUGCCUUAGAAGGGAUUCAGGGCGAACCAACUGGGUUAAUUGCAUUCAGUAAAAUAACACGAUUACAAAAUUAGAUCUGUACCAGAGGGGUAAUUAACUUGGAUCCACGCAGUCAUUUGAAAACUAGAUUUAUAGGCAUAUGUAUGUUUUUCAGCGUGUGCUGUAAAUGGCAUGGAGAUAUAUGCAUAUGUAUACGCAGACACACGCAUCGUCUACACUUCCAUGGAACAGACUAAUUAACAGCGGCUCUGGCAGAUGUGGCAGAGAUGAGCGAAGACACGAGCUGGGCUUAUGAGUUAUGACUCUGGGGUAGAGACUCGGAGCGGAGGGAGGGGGAUGGGCAGGGAGAGAAGUGUGGUAGUCGCAGUGGGUCUGAUACUUUCCGGAUCAAGAUCAGAGGCUCUGCCCUCCGUGUUCACAGCGGACCUUGAUUUAAUGUCAUACAAUUAAGGCACGCGGUGAAUGCCAAGAGCGGAGCCUACGGCUGCACUUGAAGGACACCAAAGCGUCUCAGGGUCAGAAAGGGGAAAAAGCAAUUGCAGGGAAUUUAGAGGGUGGUAGGAUGAACCCAUCCCUUGCCGCAUAAAUGCCCCCCACCCCCACCCUGCACUGAUUCUAGAAGCAACCUGAUUUUCGAAAGUGAAAAUCUCCUACACUUCCGUUAGAGCCGCGGAAAUCCGCAGGCAAAUAUCUGAAGGGGAUUUUAGGGAAGCUGCAUUGACAGCUGUCAGGAGAGCAGUAGUUCCCGUCUGUGCAAAUAUUCUAGAGAGUUAAACCAUUUAGAAAGCACUGGUUCUUUCAAGAGCAGGUAGUGUGAUUGCAGUCCUAGGCCAACCUGGGGAAAAAAAAAACAGAAGAGAGAGGUGUAACAUUAAAUGGCGUCUUGACCACAUUGCGCAAGAAACCUCAAAUGAACGGUCCAAACUUUGAAAAGAUCUGAAGAACACCUGCCGCGCCCAUUUUCCUUUGACUUCCCUUUCUCUUCCCAAUCUCGAGGCGUCCUUGCCUGACUUUAAAACGCCAAGAUAACUCUCUUGUUUUGGCAUUGUCGCAAUGUCCAAGUCGGUCAAAGGAGUGGGACAAGGGGGAAGGACCAGGUCAGAAACUGUAAAAUGACUCGGUAAAUUAAUUUAUUUGAAAGCCAUUGAGGUGGACUAUGUUGAGGUAGUAGUUCUGCACCACGGCUUUGGAGCCGAAGAAAAACAUCCAGGCCGGGAAAGCGAGCCUUGAUGUCUUUGUUCUGCCUUGGCCUGCAGGGGCUGCGAACAAAGGAGAGGCGCUAAGAGGAUGCACCAAAGUGGCCGCGCCCUCCCUGCCGGGCGCUGUCCGCGGUGCUGACCGUGGCCCUCCUCUCCGUAAUUAGACUGGAAAAGCCAUAGGACCCUCCCGUCCCUACUCAAAAGAGUAGGAUAUUAGGUAAUUUGAAAAAUAAAAUUUAAAAGAGAGAAAGUCCACAUUCAGCAAGACAAUAUUUUACUGAAAUCGUUCCCUCCAGCUGUUGCUACCCUUGCCUGAUAUUCUUUGGUCUUCACUUAGAAAUGCACACAAAUAUUCAGUUUACGUAUAUGGGGAAAUCAUUUUCAGUUAUUUAGGCCAUGCAUUGAAAUGACCUGAAUCCUGCCGUGGGCAGAAUUGCAAUAAGGAAACUGAGGAGAAUGAAGGCUUUAUUAUUCUUCUUCUUUCUUAAGUCGUCUUCCUUGAAACAGAAAUGUAAGGUCCUCAGACGCGGAUCUCAGCACAGACUUGGUCACCAAAGGGAUGUGCAAAGGACGAAAGUGUGGGCCUCGAGACUUAAACAGAAAGGGGUGGCCGGAGACCCACCAGGUGAGACAGAGCAGAAGCCCAUGCAGCCUGCCACCUUCAGCCAGGUUUAUAGCUCGGCAGUCUUAGUUAGACGGGUCCAGAGGGCUGAGCUCUGCAGACCGCUCGGGUGCGCAGUAGCCUGCUCGGCGCAUCCCAGCCGGCGGGAGGCACUGGAGGGCCAGGAGGGCCAGGAGGCCUGAAACCCGCACUGCGGAAAACCCGACCGCAGCCGCAUCCUCAUAGAUCCCGCGACGGAAAGAGUCAGGGCGGUUUACUAAAUCCUAUCCAGUGAAAAUUCGCCCUAGGAAUUGAAGGUUGGAUGGGCCAGUAUUGAUAUAUUUUUUAAAAUCUUUACAUUUCUCAACCUAUUUCAUCGUUCUUAGAUAUUGAGAGUAUUAAAUGUAAACAAUACAAAUUUUAAUUCCCUAAGUAAUGAACCAAAAUGGCAAGGGAGAGAGAGACGGGAAAUCAACUAAUUCGUAGCCAGCCUGGCUGGCUAUUUCUCAAAAGAAAUUUCUAUGCAUUUGCUUAGGUUUGCCUAUAAAUUCACAAACGUAAAGGCUGUUAAAAUUAAUAACAGAUUGGACAAUAGAGCAGCAACACCGAUUUUGAUCCAGAUACAAAAAUGGGCCAUGCAUUGAAAUGACCUAAAAGAGAUGUGUUCAUUAAGUUCUUCUUCUCUCUUUCUCUCUCUCUCUCUCUCUUUUCACACGGGACGUAGAUGUAUACUAAGAUUCAAGAAAUAGAACGGCCAAGUGCAAUAUCCUCAGAGAGCUGUCUGCUCACCCCCUGCCUCAGGGCGGAUUUUAUCUGUCUUCGAAUUUUAGAACCCUGCAAGUCAGGUCUUUCACAUUCAUCGAUUACUUUGGUUUAUCUUUAAUUUUAUCCAUUUUGGGAAUGGGUAGGUAAAGCACACUGGAAAAUAGGGGCUGCUGGCAUGACAAAAUUAAAAGGUUGUGAGUAUUCCUCUUGUGCCAAUUAAAGGCAGUUGUUGGAAGCGGAAAUGAGUUUAAAGCAUUACACGUUAUCAUGGCCGGCCUUUCUUUCUAAUAUUCAUCCAAUUGCGCUGUUUUCCUGCAUCCACAACUUGCAUAGUCCACAAAGCACCUAUGGUCCAGGGCUGCAAAAUCGUCCCGCCUGAUUCCAUUAGAAUUCAUACUACCUCGCAGAAGCAAACCUAAUCCCCUCAGCCUAAUCCUACCUGUUUAGGACCAUAUAAACUCGUCCUUCAGAAAUCUUGAUCAGUUUAAAAUUACUUUCGAAGUAGAAGUGAAAUACAUGAUAUGAGAGAGGUUUAAAUACUACUUAAAAAGGGAACACUCAAUUUAGUAAUUCGGUUGCCUAGAUGAAAUCGAGUGGCUAUUGAUCCGUGAUGUUUCUAGAUUUUUAAGACUAUGUACUUUCUAUUUCUCUGGAAAAUAAUCAUCCAGUUUGAUGCCCAUUACAAAUUUUCCUGCUAUGAAAGAAAUCCUAUGCGCUGCAGUUUUGCAAUAAAACAACCCAGGCUUCGCAAUGGGAGAACUUCGGCGCGGCGUGCCGUGGGAGUCCUUUGACAAUCUCAACUUUCAUCUGGGUCUGAAAUUAAAGCUUCUCGGAAUAAUUUAGGAACAGCUUGACCCGUUGAGAUACUCAACGACAACCCUCCAGGGAAAUAGUAUGUUUCCUUCCUGGGAACAAGAUGCUAGCGCAGUGCACCGGGAGGUAUCCGGUGUCAACAAUGCCAGAGCGCCCUCUGCUGUCUCAGAGAGGCAGGACACCAAUUACAAAAGCCAGAUGGCACAGUGGCAAUAAGCAGAGGAAACAUUAAGCUCUUAGAAACGUUUAAUCUGUGAAAUUUAAAAGCUCUCAUCAUAUUCCACUUUUGAAAGGGCCACCUGAUUUUGAUUUUGAGCACUCCUUGGACGAUAUCUUCUAUUCUGGAGGAUAAUGAAAAGUCAGUGUUUUGAAGUUUUCAGAUCAUUUCUGUUGGUAUAUUUCUCCAUCCUUUCUCGAAUUUUAUAUGGAAAUACGAAAUUGCAAAUUGGAGUGAAAAACCUUUGUGCAAAACAGGUGAGUGGAGAAAACGUCCUGAUUUCUCCAGAUAACUAAGCUCUAAUAAUAAAGACAUGAAGUACAUGUUGUUGCAUUAUUUUAAAAAGAUAAUUAAAAAAGAAUUUGUCUUGAUAUGUGUUUUGUUGUUUUGUUUCAACGAUUAACCCAAAUUUUGCUCAGACUUUAAGUUUUGAAAUAAGAAAGUGAAUUUUUUUUAAAAAAGAAAAAUUUGCUUCACAUUAAUAUGUACACUAUUAUUGCCCUUAAAAUCUUUGCAAUAAAUGUAUAUACACACUCAGCUUGCAAAUACUUCUUUAGAAAAUAACUCACUCUGAGUAGAAAUCAGAUAUGGUACCAGCAUGGGCAAACCCAUAAGAAAGGUUAUUUGCAUUAAAAAGGAGUUUUUCAGUAGGGAAAAUCGAUUACCAAGUGAAAUACAAGUAUUUUUUUUUUAAGGUUCAAACCCUUUUAAAUUUUUAUGUUAUAAGGUUUAUAUAGAUUAAAACAAAUGUACUUUUGUGGUAAUUCAACAUUAUGAAUUUUAAGAUUGCAGCAUAUUUUAAAACACACACUUUUGCCAUGAAGACUGUUGUUUUAUAUAUCAAUGCUGAUGUAAUACAAUGCUUCCAUUAACUAUGUAGUUGUUAAAUAAAUCUUGUAAAAAUAAAGUUCUGUUUAUUUUAUCAUGUCAGAACAAAAUAGUUGUCUAAAUCACUUAUUUUAAUCUUAACUUUUAAAUGAAAAUGCCUAUAAGAAUAUUAAGCUAUAAGAUUGCUGAGAAAACUAAGGUAAAAUUUAAAAUUGUAUGAUUUUGUAAUUUGCUAUAAUUAAAAAAACAUGUAUUGAUUAAAUGUUAAAUCAGGUUAAAUAUUUGACCAACUAUGUCGAGUUCCAUAUAAAUAUAGGUACAUUUGUCUUCUGAAAGGUCUUUCUCCAAAUAAUGCAUUUACAAAUUUAUGGCACAAUAAGUGAAGAAAUAGUAGAACUUUUAUGUUUUUAUUUUAAGCAUACUUUUACAAAUUAAAAAUCUUAUUUUUUCUUAUAGUUAAUUUAAAUUUCUUUCUAAAUAAGUUUAUAUUUUAUCCAGGAGAAAAUAAACAGAGUGGCAUAAUUUUGCUAUAAGUAUUAUAGUUAUCAUAAUCAGUUAAAAAGAACCUCAAGGUAAAUAAAAUAUAUAAUAAAAUAUAAAUUAAAAAUGAAAAAAUGCACUAAAUUCGUGGGUGGAAGACAUGAGCAUGACUUUUUCCUGUUUUAAAAACCAUUCGAUGUAUUCUUUAAAAAAAAGAGAGAGAAAUGACAAAAAAGAAAAAAUAAAAAGAAGAGAAGCAACUAAAAGAGCUUCUCAGAUGUCCAAUAGAUGCUGCCCAAAGUAAAAAGCCUGCUCUAAUAUGUGUUAUUCAAAUUUGCAUGUAAGGGUUUUUACCCUUUCUUUAUUUUAUAUUUGUACAGGGUAACAUAUUGUAACUGAAACACUCUUCCCAUUUUUUUUCAGCUAGGAAAAACCUAUGGAAACAUUCGCUUCCAUAGGAGUAAUAUUUAUCUAAACAGUAUAUUUAGGGAAAGCACUAAUAGAACACAAGCAACUAAUUACUGAUGCUUUUAGGGAGUAACCAUAAUAAUAAUUGUGCACUGUAUUGAUGAAAUUAAUACAGAAUUUAAUAUUUGUGGACCACAAAAAAGCCCUAAUCGUGGACCUCAGAUUUGAAAGAACAGGCUUCAGCACAAUGUGUAUCUUUUUUGUAUUCAGACUCAGUUGAAAUUGCGAUUUCUCUCAGCUGCUGCUAAGUAACUAAUAAAUUGUAGAAAUAUGACUGAGUAGGAAUUGAAAAUAAGGUGCUUUAAGAAGGAAUAAAAUUGUGAUGUCAAUAAAUCAGAAUUGAUUGUCUUUUAGAUAGAAGGUUAGUAGUUACAAACUGCAGGGAAAAUAUUUACACUGAUGAACAAAUCUCAAGGAAAGUAAAAAAGUUCAGAUGUGGAAUGCUACCAAGGCAAAACAAAAUGAAAUGAGAAGAAAUUAAAUAUUUAAGACACAUAUAGAAAGAACGAAGAAGCAGCUUGACUUCAAUUUUGUUUUUAAUAUUCCUGUAGAUUAUGCAGAAAAACAUUAAGGAAUUCUUUGUUGUCAUGUGUCCUAAUUUUGAUCUUGAUGAAUUUAGGACAGGGAAAGGUUGAAAAACAAAUGAGCGAAAUAGUAAUUUACUAUUCCACUCAUGGAUUGGCAAGGCAGAAUUGUUUUUUUCCUUUCCUACUUGCUGAUCAAGUUCUUUUUAAACAUAAAAAAAGGAAAGUAUAUUAAAUAUAAUUUUAUACAUGGUAAAGUUGUCUCCCCUUAGCCUCGGUUUGCUUUCUGUGAUUUUAGUUACCCGCAGUCAUCUUUGGUCUGAAAAUAUUACAUGGAAAAUUCCAGAAAUAGACUAUUUAUAAGUUUCAAAUUUCAUGCUGUUUUGAGAGGCAUAAUAAAAUCUCGCACCGCCCAACUCCAUCGCACCCAGGAUGUGAAUCAUCCUUUGUCCAGCAUCUCCAAGCUAUAUGUAGCUACUACCCCUUAGUCCCUUAGUAGCCAUCUUGAUGAUCAGAUCUACCGUAGAUACAGUAAUAACACACAGUAUCACUUAUGUUCAAGCAACACUUGUUUUGUUUAAAAUGGCCACAAAGAUCAAAAGUAGUGAUGUCGGGAAUUCAGGUAUGCCCAAGAGAAGCCGUAGGUACAUCCUUUAAGAGAAUAGGUGAAAGUUCUCAAAUUAAUAAGGAAAGGAAAAAUAUUGUAUACUGAGGUUGCUAAUAUCUAGAGUAAGAAUAGAUCAUCUAUUUCUGAAAUUAUAAAGAAAAGUAAACUUAUCCUAGUUUCGUUGUCUGUAUUCAAACUGAAAAAGUUACGGUCAUGGUGCAUAAAGGCUUACGUAAAAUGCAAAAGGCACUAAAUUUGCAGUUGGAAGACAAGAACCAAAGCAUGUUCUGAUUCAAUGCUAUCUGCAGUUUCAGGCAUCCACUAGGGUCACAGAAUGCAUCCUCUGCAGAGAAGUGGGGACUGCUGUCUAAAUAAUAGAAUGACUAUAAAAUAGCAUAUGCUGGGUAAUUAUCUUUCUUCUGUUAAUUUGAAGAAAAAACAGGUGAAAAAGAAACUAGGCUUAGGAAAGUAUUUCUUACUGAUUUGAAUGUUCUACCUGGUAGUGACAACGUACUUAACUUAGACAGGAUACUUAACUUGAACUCAGUCACAAUGCUUCUCAGGAAUUCCCAGUACUCAAUGUUACUGUGAAGAGUGGGAGUUCCAGGCUAAAGUGAUAAGGACUAUAUACCUCAGGCAAGGUCAAUUUAAAGGUUACAAAGUUUAGGUUGCUAUGAAAACAUUAAAUAGAGAAAGGUGUUACCUUGCCCAGAGGUAUGUAGCGUCAGUUUUCCAAAUUGAAGAAUUUCUUUUUUCCCUGGACAUGCUUGGCCCAAUUUCACUCUCUCGAUUCCCAGAAUUCGGGUAUAGUAGUUAUGUUUUUUCAUUGUCUUGAUAAUAUCAGAUAAAUAGAAAUUGGCUACAAGAACGCCAAGGAUGCAUUCUUCGAUAUGUGAUUUUUACAACCUGGUAUGUUUAAAGAAAGGGGCUUUGAUUCUAUGAAAGGAUUAUUUUUACCUAGCUUUUCAACUCAGAAAGCACAGAUACUUAAAUGCCCACUAAGCAUCAGGAAGUUGGUUUAGUUGGAUGAGGGAAUGAGGGGUGUGGUAUGUGUAUAUAUAAAUACAUGUAUAUGGAAAGGAAUAUUUAUAUUAGAGAUUAUAGUUAACAUUUAAAACCUGGUUGUAAAAAAAAAUAAAACUAACUGUAGCUGUGGCUUGGACCUAUCUCUUUUGUAGUUAUCUUCCUAUUAUCAGAUAAUUUACUUGGUGAAAUUGCCUGGUACAAGAGGAUUAUUAAUAAAGAAUCAUUAAAAAUGACUA